GACGAACGCUGGCGGCGUGCCUAAUACAUGCAAGUCGAGCGCAGGAAGCUGACGGAACUCUUCGGAGGGAAGGCAGCGGAAUGAGCGGCGGACGGGUGAGUAACACGUAAGGAACCUGCCUCAGGGAUUGGGAUAACUCCGAGAAAUCGGAGCUAAUACCGGAUAGUUCAACGGACCGCAUGGUCCGCUGAUGAAAGGCGCUCCGGCGUCACCUUGAGAUGGCCUUGCGGUGCAUUAGCUAGUUGGUGGGGUAACGGCCCACCAAGGCGACGAUGCAUAGCCGACCUGAGAGGGUGAUCGGCCACACUGGGACUGAGACACGGCCCAGACUCCUACGGGAGGCAGCAGUAGGGAAUCUUCCACAAUGGACGAAAGUCUGAUGGAGCAACGCCGCGUGAGUGAUGAAGGUUUUCGGAUCGUAAAACUCUGUUGUAAGGGAAGAACACGUACGAGAGGAAAUGCUCGUACCUUGACGGUACCUUACGAGAAAGCCACGGCUAACUACGUGCCAGCAGCCGCCGCAG
rnacentral:rRNA from 1 species